AUCCGUCACCUGACACGGCCCUACCAGGAACAGCCGCGCUCCCGCGGAUUCUGGUGCUGCUCGCGUCCCCGCUCCCCUAUUCCCCUUAUUUUAUUCCUGGCUCCCCUCGUCGAAAGUCUUCCAUUCUUCAAACUAGAUUAUUUAAAAAUGAAAAAGGAAGAAAGGAAAGCGAGGUCAUCUCAUUGCUCUAUCCGCCAAUCAGGAGGCUGAAUGUCAGUUUUGAACUAAAAGCCGCUCCGCUCCUCUUCUAGAUUUGGAAAACAAGCGAAAUUAAACUAAACCGCUGCACGCCUCUGACGCGACAUCUGGACACGGCGCGGCGCUGGCGCUGCCGGAGCUGUCGACCCGGCCUGGCGCCGGACUAGUGUCCCUUUUGAUGAGAAGAAUAAGCCUCAUUCUGAUUCAACAGCAGAGAUCAAAGAAAAGACUUCUGUUUUCUGGCCACCAGAUAUAUGUUAUCUGUGCUUAAAGAAUUGAAAAACACACAUCAAAGGAGAAUUUUCUUGGAAAGAGAGGGUUCAAGCAUCACUGUUAGGUGUGCUGGAAUCCUUUCCCGAGUCAGUACUGCUUUCUAGAAGAAAACCGGGGAGAUCUAUUUGGAAUGUAUCUAACUCCAAAGAAACCAUCAGAGGUAACAGUAGAGACGGGGUUUCACCAUGUUGGCCAGACUGGUCUUGAACUCUCGACCUCGUGAUUCGCCCGCCUCGGCCUCCCAAAGUGCUGGGAUUACAGGUGUGAGACACCACACCCGGCGGAUAGAGAGAAUUUUGACAGAUUGGCUUCUCUCACAUGGCAAGAAACAUUGCUGCUAGCACUUCCCGAGUUCUACGUUCUACAACAUCCACCACUGCUAUGUCUCACAGUCCAGACUUGGAGUACAAGUAAUAAGAAGAAUAAAACUUAAUCCCUUAAGUAGAUUCACCAUAAGUUAGCUCAGAGCAAUUCCAGUGCAAGUAUGGUCUGUGAUCCAGUAGUAUCUUACAGACAGCAAGUUGAACAUUGUGGGAUGCAUGAGCUAUUGAGGCCUUUGCAGCUUUCUGCUACAUGGAGGCUAGGGCCAGAGUCAAGAUUUAUGCUUUGCAGCACACUGGUCAGCUGUUUUUGCAAAUCAGAUUAAAUGAUUUUUAAAUGAGGCUGAGAGCAUGGGAGAUACUAAUGUGUGUUUCCUUGUGAGCUACUGCAUAAGUUAGGAAAUUGAAAUACAGAAAGAUGAAAAGUGAUUUGCCCAAGCAUAUAGAUCAAAGCUGUGGCAGA
rnacentral:lncRNA from 1 species